rnacentral:rRNA from 1 species
GAUGAACGCUGGCGGCGUGCCUAAUACAUGCAAGUCGAACGAAACUUCUUUAUCACCGAGUGCUUGCACUCACCGAUAAAGAGUUGAGUGGCGAACGGGUGAGUAACACGUGGGCAACCUGCCCAAAAGAGGGGGAUAACACUUGGAAACAGGUGCUAAUACCGCAUAACCAUAGUUACCGCAUGGUAACUAUGUAAAAGGUGGCUAUACUACCGCUUUUGGAUGGGCCCGCGGCGCAUUAGCUAGUUGGUAGGGUAAAGGCUUACCAAGGCAAUGAUGCGUAGCCGAAUUGAGAGGUUGAUCGGCCACAUUGGGACUGAGACACGGCCCAAACUCCUACGGGAGGCAGCAGUAGGGAAUCUUCCACAGUGGGCGAAAGCCUGAUGGAGCAACGCCGCGUGGGUGAAGAAGGUCUUCGGAUCGUAAAACCCUGUUGUUAGAGAAGAAAGUGCGUGAGAGUAACUGUUCACGUUUCGACGGUAUCAACCAGAAAGCCACGGCUAACUACGUG